CUUAGGCGCGCGCGUCGGGAGGGGCUGAAGUCCAGGCGGAGGCGGGCGCGAGGCUGCGGGACGGGUGGACGUUCCCGCCCAGCGCCUUGGCCACGCUGGCGAGGCCCUUCCUCCCUCGGGGAGCCCGGCUCUGCCGGUCUGUACGAGGAUCUGGUCUAGAGGCUCGGGGGUGCGCGGGGUGGGGAGUCGGGGGCGGGCGGGGAAGGACCUGUCCCCGGGACCCCAGGGUGCCAAAGAAGGAGAAAGGGAACACGAGCUGGGAGGACGCAUCAACAGGUGGCGAAGAUCCAGGAGCACGGUUUUAAGGAUCAGUCUCAGUCCCAGAGCUCCAGAGAGGCAGCUGUGACACAGUGGCAGUGGCAGGAGAGAGGGGCCAUAUUCAAGGGGAGAGAGAGUGGAAAUGGUACAAGACGGACAGAGGGUGAGUGUGGAGCUUCAGGACCCCCGUGACCUGGUGAAGAGAGUCUCGCCGUAAAGCAUGAUGGAUAGACGAAUUCGGUUGAUCGGGGACAUUCCGCUCUGCUGGAGAUGGAGAUCUGACCCAGGAGGGGUCCCAUCCGGGACCUGCACUGUUGUGGGUGGGCGAGGUCUGGGGGACUGAGACGGGACCCUGUGUGUUGAUGCCCAAAUGCACAAUAAAGGCAGG
rnacentral:lncRNA from 1 species